rnacentral:rRNA from 1 species
AUCGAACGCUGGCGGCAGGCCUAACACAUGCAAGUCGAGCGAGUGGCGGACGGGUGAGUAAUGCAUGGGGAUCCGCCCGAUAGAGGGGGAUCACUACUGGAAACGGUGGCUAAUUCCGCCUACUAUCGGAUGAACCCAUAUGUGAUUAGCUAGUAGGUGGGGUAAAGGCUCACCUAGGCGACGAUCUCUAGCUGGUCUGAGAGUAUGAACGGCAACACUGGAACUGAGACACGGCCCAGACUCCUACGGGGGGCAGCAGGGGGGAAUAUUGCACAAUGGGCGAAAGCCUGAUGCAGCCAUGCCGCGUGUAUGAAGAAGGCCGUAGGGUUGUAAAGUACUUUCAGCGGGGAGGCGUUACCCGCAGAAGAAGCAACGGCUAACUCCGUGCCAGCAGCCGCGGUAAUAC